AAAAAUUAAUUAUUAUCAAAAAAAUAAAAGUUAAUGCUGCAAAGAACUUGUGUAAAAAAAUAUCAGUUUCAAAUAUAAAGGAUGAUAUUUAAAUUUACUAUCCAUUGAUAUAUAUACAUAUAUAUUUAUGAACGAGUAUGAAGAUUUAGCCCUUGGCGAUAAUACAUUCCGUCCUGUGUAAAUAAUUACCCAGUAUCCAGUAGAUGCUGACCUCUAUCUCAAUAAAUAUUUGGGUCAGCAAAUAAAUCAAAAUGUCAAAGAAUUCCAGUAAAAAGGAUUGAUAGCUACUGAGUUAUCAUCUCGAGGAUGAUAAAUUCAACCGUACGACUGAAAAAUAUAAUAAAGUACUACGGGUCGCAGAGAAGACCCCAGACGAAGAAGGA